rnacentral:rRNA from 1 species
AGAGCGAACGCUGGCGGCAUGCCUAACACAUGCAAGUCGAACGAGACCUUCGGGUCUAGUGGCGCACGGGUGCGUAACGCGUGGGAAUCUGCCCUUGGGUUCGGAAUAACAGCGAGAAAUUGCUGCUAAUACCGGAUGAUGACGUAAGUCCAAAGAUUUAUCGCCCAAGGAUGAGCCCGCGUAGGAUUAGCUUGUUGGUGAGGUAAGAGCUCACCAAGGCGACGAUCCUUAGCUGGUCUGAGAGGAUGAUCAGCCACACUGGGACUGAGACACGGCCCAGACUCCUACGGGAGGCAGCAGUGGGGAAUAUUGGACAAUGGGCGAAAGCCUGAUCCAGCAAUGCCGCGUGAGUGAUGAAGGCCUUAGGGUUGUAAAGCUCUUUUACCCGGAUGAUAAUGACAGUACCGGAGAAUAAGCUCCGCUAACUCGUGCCAGCAGCCGC